rnacentral:rRNA from 1 species
AUCGUCCGGGUUUACUCCCGGGUGAAAACAUGCAGGGGCAAUAAGGAUACCCCCGGUAAUUCUGAGGCUAAUACUUGCUCGUGACACCCGAUGAAGGGCCCCUUCACGGGGGCCCCCUUCGGGGGUUGUGUGCGUAUAUUUUGACAAAUGGGGUUUUCCGGGAAAGGGCGCACAAUCUAACCGUGACAUAAUGUUUUCUCUAAUGUCCCGGCUUCGGCCGGGUCAUCACGGGUCUCGCAUUGCGCUUCUGACCUAUCAGCUCUUUAGCCGUGUAACGGACAAGCCAAGGCGACAACGGGUACAGAGGAUUAGGGUUUGAUCCUGGAGAGUGGGCCUG